UGGGGAAUUUUGGACAAUGGGCGAAAGCCUGAUCCAGCAAUGCCGCGUGUGUGAAGAAGGCCUUCGGGUUGUAAAGCACUUUUGUCCGGAAAGAAAUCCUUGGCUCUAAUACAGUCGGGGGAUGACGGUACCGGAAGAAUAAGCACCGGCUAACUACGUGCCAGCAGCCGCGGUAAUACGUAGGGUGCAAGCGUUAAUCGGAAUUACUGGGCGUAAAGCGUGCGCAGGCGGUUUGCUAAGACCGAUGUGAAAUCCCCGGGCUCAACCUGGGAACUGCAUUGGUGACUGGCAGGCUAGAGUAUGGCAGAGGGGGGUAGAAUUCCACGUGUAGCAGUGAAAUGCGUAGAGAUGUGGAGAAUACCGCUGGCGAAGGCAGCCCCCUGGGCAAUACUGACGCUCAUGCACGAAAGGCGUGGGGAGCAAACAGGAUUAGAUACCCUGGUAGUCCACGCCCUAAACGAUGUCAACUAGUUGUUGGGGAUUCAUUUCCUUAGUAACGUAGCUAACGCGUGAAGUUGACCGCCUGGGGAGUACGGUCGCAAGAUUAAAAUCAAAU
rnacentral:rRNA from 1 species